GCGCCUGCUGAUCUCCUUGGAAUAAAGCUGGAGGAUCUCAAGGCCGUCGUCCUCGGCGGAAGUAGCGCGGUUAGCCACGGAGAAGGCCUCGUCCUCAAUUCGGCGUGCAGCGGCCUCUGCCUCAUCGUGGGGUAUAGCACCGUAGCGCUUGGAGAGAACAGAGGGAGUAGAUAAGGUCUCGAUUAAACGGGUGAUGACGGCAUCUCGAGUGCGCUGAGUCGGAGGCCAAAUGCUCAGCGAAAUACCGCUGCUGCUGAGCUUCUUGGGCUCUUCUUGCUGUGGCUGAGACUCGACAGGGGCUGAUUGGUGUUCCGGCGGUGGCGCAGUGGUGGCAGUACUGGUUUCGGAGUCGGUCAUGGUCGCGAAAGAAAUAGGAAAUUUUUUAGAUUUGGAAGGGAGAGGAGAUCGAGAGCAUUCAAUGGCUGCUUUAAGCGUUAACUGAGAAGUGAGAAGAGCGCUGCCGUGGGGUCAUUGAAUG
rnacentral:misc_RNA from 1 species